rnacentral:rRNA from 1 species
AUACGUAGGUGGCAAGCGUUGUCCGGAUUUAUUGGGCGUAAAGCGAGCGCAGGCGGUCUCUUAAGUCUGAUGUGAAAGCCCCCGGCUCAACCGGGGAGGGUCAUUGGAAACUGGGAGACUCGAGUGCAGAAGAGGAGAGUGGAAUUCCAUGUGUAGCGGUGAAAUGCGUAGAUAUAUGGAGGAACACCAGUGGCGAAGGCGGCUCUCUGGUCUGUAACUGACGCUGAGGCUCGAAAGCGUGGGGAGCAAACAGGAUUAGAUACCCUGGUAGUCCACGCCGUAAACGAUGAGUGCUAAGUGUUGGAGGGUUACCGCCCUUCAGUGCUGCAGCUAACGCAUUAAGCACUCCGCCUGGGGAGUACGGCCGCAAGGCUGAAACUCAAAGGAAUUGACGGGG